rnacentral:lncRNA from 1 species
CAUCCUUGGUUCCAGGCAAGUAAGUUAAAGUUCAGACAGAUCCUCUUCAGUUUCCAGGAAAGCAUGAAGAGAAUUAAAAUGAAAAUAUUUUCUGCUUCUUCCUCUCACAAAGGAAAGAAAGUUUUCUAGAAAGUAAAUCUUGUCAAUGGUUACAGCUUUUCUAACAAACAGCCACUAGUGUGCAGUUUUAGGAUAAAAUAGUAGUAUUUCCACAGUCACCUAGGCAUCUAGAUCCAGGUACUUUAAAUAAGUUUACAUAUAUACAAACAUAUUCUUAUCUGUGCCCCAUGAACCUCAGAAGUAUUUUCUAGUACCUACAUAAAUCACCUUUCAAUUUUUUGAGAAAUAGAUAGUCAACUGUUUCAGGGUAAUUAUCUCCUUGCUAGUAGCACAAAGUUUAAGGAGGUAACUUUUGCAAGAAUGGAGUACCUUUGUUCUCUACCACUAUCCC